rnacentral:lncRNA from 1 species
CACCACAAGCUAAUUUUAGAUCAUUUUUCCACCCCCAAAGAAACUUCAUACCCAUCAGCAGUCACUCUGAUGUCUCCAGUCGGGGAAGCGAGCUUCCAGCUGACCCUUGCAGAGAGACUUCCCUGGCCAGAUGCUUGUUCCCUGGAAGCCUCUCCCUUGCUGGUAAAUCGCAGCUGCCUGGUGUCUCUCAGCAUGGAAGGGGAGUUUUAAACUCAGUUGAAGAGAGUGCUUAUCCACAGGGCUGCAAUGUUUCCCUGAUGUUGUUGGGAGGACUUCUGUUUGAUCCUGGGGAGAAAUGAGCCCACCUAGGCUGCCUUCUUUUGCUAAGUUGUGGAGGAAGUCUGCAGAUGUUGAACCCUGGUUACCUUCCAUGUUGGGAAAAAGCGUAAGACACAUAAGAUCCUCAAAAGCAAUGGCAGCUUGAUUCAAUAAACUCUAAGACUCCACUGAAGCCAGCCACAGUGCCCAACCUGCAAAGGACUAUCAGGCCCACAAAGGCUCACGGUCUGCAGAUAGAGAAAAAUGUAUGCCAAAAUGUCACAAUGCAGCCUGAUUUACAAUAGAACACUGUAAAAGGUGAUGCAAAGGAAUGGAGGUAUGGCGGAACUUGAGGACACAGUUCUCAGUCAUGUCAUCAUUGUAAACAACUUUCUUAGGACAUGAAAGUUCGGCUCACAAAGCUGGGAUUACAAGCACGAGCCACCACCAUGCCCAGCCCUCAGUAUUUAUCCAUGUAUCCAGUCACUCCUUCAAUUAGCCUUCAUGUAUUUAUUUAAACAUGAUCUUUAUGCUCUGACCGUGUUUCCGACAUUGUGAUAGGCACAGCACCACUUGUUCUGAGUUGUGACUCUCGUCUGUCGGCUUUACAUUCUCCCUCUACUUUUGUUUCCUGUUUCAUUGGAGUUGUAAACCCACCAAAAAUCAAAACUAAACAAGUAAACAAAAUAGCACACCACCAAUAACUAAACUCUCUCCACACAUUCCUUUGAGCUGCCUUUCUAAGGGGGCUUGUCAAUGGGAGGCUUAUCAGGCAAAUGGAAGGAGAAAGAAGGGAAAUAUUUUUCUGCUACUUGUGAUGCCAGUGUCUGUAACUGAACGUGAUGAGUGAUGGGGUCUGGAGGCUCAGCAGGAGAGUGGCCCCCUGUUUUCUGCUCAUUGCAGAUGCUUUUCCACUAGCAACUAUACUAGACUCUCUAGCAAAUUAGUGGUCUCUGUGGGCACCGGGUUUCCAUCCAAACAUUGGAAGCUUCAUGAUGUUUGGUAAUAACUCCUUUUUCCCUUUUCUCCUUUGGCUCUUCCAACACAUUCAUAACCAAAUCAUAUAUGAAAAUUCCCUGGAUUAAAAAUAUCUAGGGGAGUUUCUCUUUCCCUAAGUGGACUCCAGUGGGUGAAAGAAUGGUAGAGGAGAGUGAAAUUGAUUCCAAUUCAGUAAUUUUACACCAGGGAUUCAGACACUAGAUUAAAUUAGAAAAUGUAUGUUUCAUAUGUGAUAUAUUAGCAAUCACUAUCAUUAUCGUCUAAGUUAUAGAAAAUAGCCUAAAACCAUCAUUUUUAAUUUGAAUUUUUAGUUAUUUUAUCUAUUAACAAGUAUUAGAAUUUUUACUCUAUUCAAAUGAUUUAUUACUAAAUAAUCCCCUGAAUACUUUUAUAGUUUAUAUACCAUGUAGCUUUAUAGACUCCUGAACACAGAUAUUUUUUUAGAGCUGAGAGGUAGUAAAAACUUUAAUAUGAAUCUUUUUCUUAAAUUUUCCUCAACAAAAAUGGGAAGAGAAGUUUGUUUCUUUAUACAAAAAAAAAACAUAUUUCUUUUUAUGUUUAGGUAAACAAUUCAAAAGUCUGAGUCAAAAAUUAAUAUGUCCAUGCAUUAAUUCCUUUCUUCCAAGAAAUACCAAAAAAGCAGUAUGAUUUAUUGUUUGCCAUGUAUUCAAAAUAAAUGUUUAAAUAUCCAGAAUUUCU